rnacentral:misc_RNA from 1 species
AUUGUUAUGUGCAAAAGUUAGCAAAGAGUUUUGCUGGUUUUGUGCGAAAGUACGAUUGGAAACAAAAAACUGUAUCCAUUCGGCAUCCACUUAUGGCAACCAUUGUUGCUAAAUCCAACAAUUGUCAUGUUGCUCAGCCAAAUUUGCAUUAGUAAUUCUUCCAAUGAGAAAAUGUGAAUGAACCCUACACUUCGAUUACUUUUGAUAUUCUAGUGCAGCAACUUUUUAGUAUUUAUUUUGUCAAAUAUCUGGGUUGUUAUCUCCCUUGCGACAGCUAUGCGAUACUUGGCGACAAUUUUUAGGCGAUAUUGAAUAAAAUAUGGUAGCUUGCCUCAUUGUUCCGAAAGGAAACAUGGCGCUAUUCAGAGUGUUAAGUGUUGCCAGUUUUCUGUGGCGCCGCAUGUUAGAACUGUGUUUAAUACCGUGUUUCAAAUGGAAGAACAGCUGAUUGUAUUUUCAUUUGUUCAUCAGAGUUUGCAUAACUGACUUUACAUGCCUGGAACAUCAUUAAAGACUCAAAAGUGAAAAUUACAAAUGACUAUCAAGUAUGGAUGUUCAUGAUGUGUGUUCAAUGGAGCCGGAUCCUGGUGGUCAUAAAGGUUCCUAAACAAUGAAAUUGAGGUUAUAAUAAUAUCGCAUAAUGCUGCCAUAUUGGUGCUUUCUGGUUAUCUUCAUCUACAUCAAAAAGUUGCAAACUCAUCUGGGUCUUUGGAGAGUAUUUGUAAGCUCAUUAUUCACCUAACUUUUUGCCAGAAAAUCUGUCCGUAAUAUUUUUAUCCUGCUGUUCUUCCCAUAAACAAACUCAUCUGUUUUUGCUGAACAAACAAAAAAAAAAAAAAAAAAAAAAAGAAGAAGAAGAAGAAGAAGCUCAGAGAAUUGUACAAAUUCAGCAUUAUGCAUUGACAAACAAAAAGUAAUGCAAAUAGUUGUUCUCAAUGAGGUACAGCUAUGUUCAAACCAAUUUCUAACCUACAGUCUAAAAUUUUGCUUGCAAUUUUUCACAUUGUAUUUCUAUAAAAUUCUGUCAUUUGAGAAGUAUAGCUUCAUAGAAUGUGAAUUUUUGCAUUCUAUAUUGUUAGAUAGAAUGCCAUUUUUCUGCAAAAAUGGAAUGCUUUCAUUUUCAUAUGGCAAAAUCUAAAGUCCCAUUAUAGUACAUCACAAGAAAAACAAAUAUACUCAAUGAAAAAAGGAACACUAAUCAGAAAAAUGGCAGUCAGAUUUCAGAAAUGCAGAUUCAUGAGUUCACACCAGGACACGUGCUAUGCUAAUAUUGGUUGAAAAAAAUGAAUACUGUUGGGUGAUGUGGUUUGCUACAUUAAGAAUUUUGCUGACUUACUAUGUUUCCUCAAAAUGCUUUUUUGCAACUUUUCAGUAAGGGUAAAGAAAACCAAAUUAGUAUCAACAUUUUAUCUGUUUAAUUUCAUUUGCUUCUUAAUAUUUCUAAAACACAUAUUUUUAAACUAUUUUUCAUGUGUUUAGAAUUUUUUGUUACUCCAUAAAUUAAUACAGUAUUUUAUGAUUUUUAUAAAUUUGUAGUUUUCCUUUUGAUCUGACUACUUUUGUUGUCAAUUGAAUAAUUAAAUUAAAUGUACCAUUUUUAUGAAUGUAUUUUAUUCUGCUUCAGAAACUUUUGAUGAUAAAGGGCUUUACGUUUUCCUAAAAGCGUUAUCACAUUAGCUGUUUGUUGCCGGGACAAAACGUUUGCAGCAACAGUUCUGAGAAACAGCCGUUGGCGAAAUAGGGUACCAUCUUCACUUGUUAAACAGGCUGAAAGCCAAACAAGAAUCAGUUAUCGCUCAGAUUGGCAAAAGUGACGUUUCCUUU